rnacentral:lncRNA from 1 species
UGCACCACGUUGACAGUCACCGCAGAGAGCAGGGAGUACCUUUAUUACUGAGGAAUCUGUUUCUCUAUAAACCAACCUUUUCUUACUUGCCCCAAUACUUCCCUGGACGUCCACGAUCUGUUCUGAGAAAGCUUAGGGCUCCCCUUUAAAUGGAGAAGACUUAGUCUUCAAAUAGUAUACCAGGCAACAAUUGAUCUUUUAUGGCAACGUUCUUGUAGCCACUAACCUUUGCUGGGAUGAAAUGGUAAAUCCUCAGAUACACAUCUACUGCACACCUAAGAAUCCAAGUGGAGAACUUGAUCAGGAGCAGGGAAGGAGGCCAAUGAAAAUGGGCUUUGAACAGAGAAGAACAUAUUAGAAAGGUCUUGGGAGUCACAAAUAACUAGAAGGGACAAGGAGACUGAAGCAAAAAAACCAGACAGACAGUGUAAAGAGUAUUUAGACUUUUCCUCGUAGAGAACAAAAUUUAGAGAAAGGCUUGAAAAUGAUGUUCUAGAGAACAACUUGAAAGGGGUGUUCUAGAAAAGUCUUGGAAGUGAUGUUCCAGAAACACAUCACAGUACUCAUUUGAUUUGACCUUUUUUGGUUUUGAGGUGACAUGUUAGUAAGAAGAUGUGGUUACAUGGGUUCUACUCAUUUGUAUCUCAGGGAUUUCACAAGAGAUGAGAAUUAUUACAAGAUCAACAGCCUCAAAGAGGCAGAGCAUCAAGUUAUCCCAAACAAUGUCUCCUUGGACAGAAAAAGAGGAAAGUGCGAACUCAUAUUCACUGGCUUUUUUUCUGAGUUUAUAUCGUCCUAUCUGACUUCAUCUGAAUUGUGAGAAACUGUGUAGAAAGCACCUGUCCUUUCUGCGUCGAUUUGUGCAGGUUGUCUUUGACUCACAUUUCAGACUUCGUCAAAUUUUAAGUACAAGACAAUAACACUGUAUUCACACGUGGAUAGUGCAUGGGAAAUGUAGAAAUAGAACAGUGGCUGUUCUCAUUAGGACAGGGUUCUCUAUUUAGGGGGAAUAAGAGAACCACCUCCCCUAUGAAAUGUUUGCAUUUCACUCUGUUGCUUUAAUGUGUAAUGACAGUAUCUGCAAAGAGCACACGUUUUCUCUGGCGGGUUACAUGAUAUCCCCAAGACUCUCUCCCCCUCCCCCCCAGGGAGGAGGCUGCCCCUUGGACUGUCAGCACUGUUUGCGGAUUUUAUUUGGAUAGUGACCGGUGAGCACAGGCCUUGAGAGGCAUCGUUCAUCUUCCGAAACUUUUCUUUCUGCCAUGAGAAUGGCCUGUCCAAACAGAGGCUGAUCCUGGAUCCAAGAUGAAGACAACAGAUGGAGAUGACCUACGGCUCACUCGUAAACAUCCUUACCAGGCAUGUAGCACAACCAGGAUGUCAACCGUUACUGCAACAAAACUUCCCAAGUACAUAGUUGCCAAAAGCUUAAGAAGUAUUUUCCUAAACUUAAGCUAAAAUCAAGCCACUCUUGACUUCUGCUGUCUCCUAAAAUCUAAGUCUUCCUCUAGCAUUGGAUGCGUGCUCAUAAACCUUCCAUAGCUCGUUAUUUCAAUUUUGAAAACUUUUGUAUUUCCAAUGUAGUCUGUACUCCAACCUGUAUGUUCGUAUGUCCUACUCAGCCUCUAUCAAUAAUUGGGCAAGUUCCUUUUCUGUCAUACAAACUCUAAAAGAAUUUUUUUGGCCAGUAAAAUUUAAUGGCUACAAAUAACUUACUUCUGGGAUUAAACAGCCAUUAAAUCUCAGAUUUACCAUAGACUUGACUGAAUCAACUUGGACAAAUUACUCGUGCUGUUUCAGCUUUGAUUUCCUUAUCAACAAAGUGGGCAUGUUGAGUGCCCAGUUCCCCGGGCUGUACCACUAACUAGCACUGGGCAGGCAGAUGCUCAUAGAUUAUCUGUUGCAUAGUAAACGCUCAAGGUUGGCUGGUCUUAUGCUCUUGACUCCAUCUGGAAUGUUUGAACUUCUUCUGAUCCAUCUUGGUUUUAACUAAACUUCAAGUCUGAGUUCAAAGCCCACUUUCUCUAUAUUAUCUUCCCAUAUAUAAAAAAAAUCAUUAUUUCUUUUUAUAAGCUAGGCAUUUGUUCUUGCUUCUAGUCUUUUAGAAGGUAAACAGUGAAAUGAGCACAUUCUAUGUUUUUCUAUAGGCUAAUAACGUCACAGAUUUUCAUCUAAUUGGCAGACUGUAUUUUCCCUCUUGUGGUUAUUAAUUCUGGGAGAUAAAAUUUUGUUUUAAAAAAUGAUCAUGAUUUUAACACAAUAUUAGUUAUAGACCAUUCUGGAAAUGGUUGCCUGUCAUCUAAUUUAACCAAUCUAAUCGAUUGGUUGGUUGGUUGAUUGAUUGGUUGAGUGUGUGUGUGUGCUCGCGCCUGUGUAUGUAUGGGUUUGUGUGUACUGAAUGUGUGCAGGUACCUGCAAAGGCUAGAAGGUGUUGAAUGCCCUGGAACUGGAGUUAUAGGAGGCUGUGAGCCACUUGAUAAUGGUGUUGGGAACCAAACCCAAUUACUGUGCAAGAGCAUUUAGUAGUCUUAACAACCAAGCCAGUUCUGUGGCUCAUGGUUUUCUCUAUAAAGCAUCCCAAACUUGAAUCAUUUAGAAGUUAAAGAAGUGAGGCCCAGGUACUGGGCUUAGUUUUCAGCAUAAGACUUGAAUGAUCACAUUAUUGCUGACUUUAAUAAGGAGAAACUCAAAAGGGAAUAUCAUUCCUAGUUAAAUGAAGUGUGCAUUCUGCCAAGGUCAAGCUGCCUUGUAUUAUUUGAGACUCACUGCUGACUACUUUAUUAAUUGUUUUCAGACUGGAAAAUGAAGUUAUAGCCUUUCCGGGAAACUCUGGGAAUCAAUUUAUUUUAGUGAGGAUGGGGGCAUGGGAGAGCAGCUUGCAAUUCUGUGCAACUGUGAAGAGCAAGGAAUUAUGGGAAGUUUGCUGUAUAAGUCAUGGUCAAAGUAAAAGUGCUUGCUUUGGGAAUUAAGGCAUAUAUGAAUUAUGUGC